UCUCUUCCAGGGUGAAGGAUGGACUUUGGUGUGUUCUCUUUUGUACAUGCCUCAGUGAGAUGCACAAAGCACAACUUGGUCAGAUUCACAGAGGCUCUUGUCUCCUCUAACUCUUCCUGACUCAGUACUGCAUUUCCAAAUAAAGCCUCUCACAAUCUUUAAUCGGGCUGUAAAUUUUAAGAAAUCUGGACCAAGACAGUUUGCUCCAAGAGUAUCCCACAAAUGCAAAUCUUCAGAGUGAGAUUUUAUUAUUGGAUUGCUCACCUGUCUGUUGGUUCCUCUAAUCUGAUGGGACACUCCCGCAAUGAUGCUUCAGCUGUAUUUUAACCUCAAGAAACCCUAAGAUCCCUCACUCCUAUGCUGCUGUCAACGGGAGGCUAAGAAGCACAGAGAAAUAGGCCACACAAAGUCUACCUCUCUGAACACUCUGGUUUGUUGAGAUGACAGAUGGUUAAGUCUCUCUCUGACAUCAAGAGAUAGAGCCAAAGUUAUCAUGGAAUUGUUUCUUUUGGAAUGUCAAGUUUAUGUGCACCGUAUCACUCUUCUGAAAUGGACUCAAGAUUCAGGG